GACGAACGCUGGCGGCGUGCUUAACACAUGCAAGUCGAGCGGAAAGGCCCUUUCGGGGGUACUCGAGCGGCGAACGGGUGAGCAACACGUGAGUAAUCUGCCCCUGGCUUUGGGAUAGCCACCGGAAACGGUGAUUAAUACCGGAUACGACCACUUCUCGCAUGGGAUGGUGGUGGAAAGUUUUUCGGCCAGGGAUGUGCUCGCGGCCUAUCAGCGUGAUGGUGAGGUAAUGGCUCACCAAGGCUUCGACGGGUAGCCGGCCUGAGAGGGUGACCGGUCACACUGGGACUGAGACACGGCCCAGACUCCUACGGGAGGCAGCAGUGGGGAAUAUUGGACAAUGGGCGGAAGCCUGAUCCAGCAACGCCGCGUGAGGGAUGACGGCCUUCGGGUUGUAAACCUCUUUCAGCAGGGACGAAGCGCAAGUGACGGUACCUGCAGAAGAAGCACCGGCCAACUACGUGCCAGCCGCCGCGGUAA
rnacentral:rRNA from 1 species